CUAUCGGUUGUAAUCUGUUGUUGGGUUCAAGCCCCCCACAGAUACGCAGCUGGAAAAGGGAGACCCUCGAAGUCCCCUUUAAAGUGAAGAGGCCUUCUCCAGCACCUGCCCGCCGCUGGGAUCCGUGACUAUAUUUUGAGAACCGCUGAUCUACUGGAUUUCUUCAGAUUUCAUAGGGUGGGAGAAGGAUACUGGGUGCUCCUCAACUGCUCCCACUGUAACUUCACCCUUGGGGCCUAGAGCUGAGGCCGGAUCCAUGAUUGACAGAAGAAUCAUGGCGCGAGAGAGCAGAGUCGUAUAUAAACAAUCAUUUGCAAAUCUGCACCUCACCUAUAAUUAUCAAUGUCACCCCCCUGAAAAACACACCUUCUGGGGCUUCCCUUAUCAAAGAAUGAGGAGAAGCCCAAUAACUCUUAAAUAAACUCUCAUAAGCCUGCUGGCCUCAGACUCCCCGGACAGCAGACAAAGGAGGAGACAGCAGGCUGUUUGGAGGGGCCUCGGCCCCCUGCGGCAGGUCCCAGGAGAGGGCGUGGAGAGACGGCCAGGCCCCGCAGGGGGCAGAGCGGGCACCUCCAGGCCCUGGGAGCCUGGUGACACGGGUGUCAUUUCAGCUC